rnacentral:rRNA from 1 species
UGAGGGAUAUUGGUCAAUGGGGGGAAACCCGUGAACCAGCAACGCCGCGUGAGGGAAGACGGUCUUCGGAUUGUAAACCUUUGUCCUCUGUGAAGAUAAUGACGGUAGCAGAGGAGGAAGCUCCGGCUAACUACGUGCC